CUGGUGGUGGCGGAGGCUGUGUGUGUGUGUGGCGGGCUGUCAGAUAUCCGCUGUAAUCUUCCUUAAGGGACACGAUCUGGUGGUGACUCGUGUUUCUGAUGAUUGUGCUGCUAAUAAGGGAGUGUUGGUGUUGUGGAGGCAGGGAUGAGGUGUGGAGUGGACGGAGGUGCGAGGGGGUGACUGUGUGUGGUGAAGGAAAUGGAGGACAAAAACAUCGAUUGCUGUAAGGUGUGGCGUGAAGCACCUGCAGCAGCCACACACCUGUACACACCUGCGUCUCGUCCACAACUAUGCACCACCACCACCACCACCACCACCACCGCCACCACCGCCACCGCCUCAGCAUUCCCUCUCACGCUUCCUAACCAGCCGUGCCUUCACACCAGCACGCCCUUUCAGAGUCUGCAGCAAGGUGACCACUGCUCCCUCAAAUAUACGGCUGGUCUUGUCCUCACCUGCGCCAAGAAUGAGGUGCGGAUGUGAUGAUAAUUAUGUUUUUUUUGUGUCUUUAUCUCGUGUCUUCGUAAGGGUGAAGAAACAGAUGGUGUGGGAGUGUUUGCUGCUUUGUUUUAGUUUGUGGCGCGUCCUUUAUCAGUGAGAAAUGGUGUUUUUUUUUUUUUUUUUUUGUGUGUGUGUGUGUCUAAAGUGAAGUUUCGUCGUUUUCGUGUCUUUAGUGUAGUUUGUUUUAUUUAUUUAUUUAUUUAUUUAUUUAUCUAUUUAUUUAUUUAUUUAUUUUGUGUGUG